rnacentral:lncRNA from 1 species
GAGCUACCUUAAUUACAUGUAUUUUUGUGUUGUUUUUUUUUCCUGUAUAUAUUUGUAGGUAUUUCUACUUACCUCCCUCUGAGAGUGGGCAUUGUUUCAUUCUUGGCGUUUGGGGCCCCUGUGCUUGAACACAAUGCUGGCACAUAAUGGGCACUAAAAAUACUGGGAGGAUUUGGUGAAGAGGGACACAGUAAACCAGAGUAAACCAGAGAGGCAGCAAUUACUUCUACUGCCGAGGCCAAUUUAUCAAAAAGGCUUGGAAACAUUACUCUUCUAUAGCAGUUUCCAUUAGAGGAAGCACUGGAAGGGACUUUAGAGCUCACCUAGCCUAACCCCAUUAUUUUUUAGAGAUCUUCAAAAUAUGGACUUGAAACCAAACAAAACAUUUGCUCCAUAAACCUGCCAGAGGUUAGAGGAAGUAUGGAGGCAGAGACGCAGCCAAUACUUUGGAUCUUUUCUUCAGGAACUUCG